AGAGUUUGAUCCUGGCUCAGGAUGAACGCUAGCGACAGGCUUAACACAUGCAAGUCGAGGGGCAUCACGGGAGUAGCAAUACAACUGGUGGCGACCGGCGCACGGGUGAGUAACGCGUAUGCAACCUACCUAUCAGAGGGGAAUAACCCGGCGAAAGUCGGACUAAUACCGCAUAAAACAGGGGCACCGCAUGGUGAUAUUUGUUAAAGAAAUUCGCUGAUAGAUGGGCAUGCGUUCCAUUAGGUAGUUGGUGAGGUAACGGCUCACCAAGCCGACGAUGGAUAGGGGAACUGAGAGGUUGGUCCCCCACACUGGUACUGAGACACGGACCAGACUCCUACGGGAGGCAGCAGUGAGGAAUAUUGGUCAAUGGGCGAGAGCCUGAACCAGCCAAGUCGCGUGAAGGAAGAAGGAUCUAUGGUUCGUAAACUUCUUUUGCAGGGGAAUAAAGUGCAGGACGUGUCCUGUUUUGUAUGUACCCUGAGAAUAAGGAUCGGCUAACUCCGUGCCAGCAGCCGCGGCAAUACGGAGGAUCCGAGCGUUAUCCGGAUUUAUUGGGUUUAAAGGGUGCGUAGGUGGUUUGAUAAGUCAGCGGUGAAAGUUUGCAGCUUAACUGUAAAAAUGCCGUUGAAACUGUCGGACUUGAGUGUAAAUGAGGUAGGCGGAAUGCGUGGUGUAGCGGUGAAAUGCUUAGAUAUCACGCAGAACUCCGAUUGCGAAGGCAGCUUACUAAGCUACAACUGACACUGAAGCACGAAAGCGUGGGGAUCAAACAGGAUUAGAUACCCUGGUAGUCG
rnacentral:rRNA from 1 species